AUUGUCGAAGCCACAUACAAACAGAGUGACCCGUGAACAUGUUGUUUCUACUUACGGUUGGAUUGGGGUGUUCAACACCACGACCUCCCUUUUGCUAGGAGAUUUUCACCUGGCUGAACAUAAACCUCGGCGCUGAAUGCGUCAAGGAACUGAAUCUUGUCUCGUGCGCCCUUGUUGACCCAAAUAUGGUGUUCUGUGGGUUGUAUUGUGGCAUUGCUAAGCAUAAAAUGACUCUCGGCAACGGAUAUCUCGGCUCUUGCAUCGAUGAAGAACGUAGCGAAAUGCGAUACUUGGUGUGAAUUGCAGAAUCCCGUGAACCAUCGAGUCUUUGAACGCAAGUUGCGCCCGAAGCCAUUAGGUUGAGGGCACGCCUGCUUGGGUGUCACACAAUGUUACCCCAAUGCCAAUGCAGUACUCAAACUAUUUGUGCAGCGGGGUAAUUGUUGGCUUCCCGUGAGCGUUGUCUUGCGGUUAGUUAAAAAUCGAGUCCGUUAUGGAGUGUACCGUGACAGAUGGUGGUUGAGUGAAGCUCGAGACCAAUUGUGUCUCUCCAUUAUAUUCGGAUUCUAGUGGCCCAAUGUGUGUUUGUCUAGGCACACCAUAAUGAGACCUCAAGUCAGGCGGGGCUACCCGCUGAGUUU
rnacentral:rRNA from 1 species